UAACGUCACGAACCGGAAGCGCAAGUGAAAGAGCUGCACCGCUGUCUUGGACACAGUGAGAUGGUUGCAUUUGAGGCGCCGUGUCGGAGCACGUAGAGUUAAGGAUGUUCGAACGAAUAACGGCGCUCGGACGGUUUCUUUAGCGUGUCGCUAGAUAAAAAUGGCCCGCAUGGGUUGUGCAUGGAGCUCCAGCAGGGCUGUGGUGGUGAUCUUCCUGCUGUUGUUGUCCUGCAUGCUGGAGAUUGCUGCUGAGUUUGACCCAUACAGAGUGCUGGGGGUCAGCAGGAGCGCCAGUCAAGGCGAGAUCAAAAAGGCCUACAAGCAGCUGGUGAAAGAAUGGCACCCAGACAAGAAUAAAAAUCCAGAAGCAGAGGACAUGUUUAUCAAGGUCACUAAAUCUUAUGAGAUCUUGUCCAAUGAAGAGAAGAGGGCAAACUAUGACCGGUAUGGGCAGACAGAUGAGAACCAGCAGUACGGACAGGCGCAGCAAAGCUUCCGGCACUUCCACGAGAGCUUCUACUUUGAUGAGUCAUUUUUCCACUUCCCCUUCAAGGGCAGCCGGGAUUUUGCUGACAACAAGUACUUGCUUAACUACAACCAGUACAUUAACGAAGUCGUGCCGGACAGUUUCAGGCGGCCCUACCUCAUCAAGAUUACUUCCGACUUGUGCUUCAGCUGCAUCCACAUUGAGCCUAUAUGGAAGGAGACUGUGCAGGAGAUGGAGAUCCUGGGUGUUGGCAUUGGUGUUGUGGAUGUUGGCUUUGAGCGACGUUUGGCUAAUCACCUAGGGGCUCACAGAACCCCAUCCAUCCUUGGGGUCGUCAACGGCAAGAUUACCUUCUUUCAUUAUGCCGUGGUCCGGGAGCACUUGAGGCAGUUCGUGGAGGACCUGCUUCCCCAGAGGCUUGUUGAGAAGGUGACAGACAGGAAUUACCUUGAAUUUUUGAACAACUGGCAUGAGUAUAAUAAGCCCCACGUGCUGCUAUUUGAUCAAGUGGCUACGGUGCCUUUGUUGUACAAGCUGACUGCAUUUGCCUACAAAGACUACGUGCAGUUUGGCUACGUAGAUCAGGGUCUGACAGAGACGGCAAAUUUGCUGAAGAAGUACAACAUCAACACUUAUGCCCCAACCAUGCUGGCCUUCAAAGAGAAUGCAGACAGUCCUGCUGAUAUCAUUCAGUCUAAAGUGAUGAAGAAGCAAAUCAUUGACGAGUUCAUAUCCAACAACAAGUUUCUCCUGGUGCCUCGGUUGGUGAAUCAGAAGCUGUUUGAUGAGCUCUGUCCUGUCAAACAGUUCCACCGACGCAGAAAGUACUGUGUCUUGCUGAUUACUGGUGAAGAGGAGGUCUUUGCUGUCGGGAAAAAAGCCUUCCUCUCCUUUGCCUCUGGCAACACCAAGGAAGUGCUGAGGUUUGCCUACGUCAACCAGAGGCAGCAGCAGCCCCUGUGUGACAUCCUGUUGAAGGACAGAGACGGUCCCCUGCCGCAGGUGGUGAUCCUGGAGAGGCGCAAUGCAGCCGGGAAGGUGCUGUACAAGCCUGUGAUGGGCGGCUGGAACGGGAGCGAGGAGGACAAGCACCUGCUAACGGAGCAGCUAGAUAUCUUGCAGAAGGACCCCUCAGUGCUCAACUACGAUGCCAUGCUGCCAGAGCUCAACAACGAGCUGGCAUCGAUGUUUCUGAUACAGUGGUUGUAUGCAGCUUAUGAUUACCUUACUCAGAUUGGAGAUGAAAUCCUUCACAAUAACUGGCGUGAAAUGAUGCCCCUUUUAUCUUUGAUAUUUUCUGCACUGUUCAUCUUAUUCGGCACUGUAAUCAUCCAAGCCUUCAGUGACUCCAGUGAGGAUAAGCAGUCCAAACCAAAGGCAAAAGAAGCAGCUAAGUCAGAGGAUGGCUCUCCAGGCAGCGCUAAUACAUCAAGUCGUCCCCCAAAGAAGAACUUUGUGGAGGUGACCGAGUUGACGGACAUCACCUACACUAGUAACCUGGUGAAAUUGCGGCCUGGACACAUCAACGUGGUCCUGGUCCUCACAGACUCCUCAAAGAAUAUCCUGCUCAGCAAGUUUGCCAAAGAAGUGUAUUCCUUCACUGGGAGCCUGACGCUGCACUUCUCCUUCCUGAACGUGGACAAGCACAGCGAGUGGAUGGACGCACUGCUGGAGUUUGCUCAGGACGUCAUGCGCAUCGACAAUGAUGAGGACGAUGCUGGCCACAAGGUGGACUACACGGGUUACGUGCUGGCCCUUAAUGGCCACAAGAAGUACUUCUGUCUCUUCAAGCCAGUCUACACGGGAGAGGACCUGGACAGCAAGCCCUCAGAGGAGUCGGGAGCUGCAGCUGCCAGUAGGUCCAGGAUAGGCCCGCGGGAGGAGCAGCAGGGAGCCCGCAAGCCUGUUCCCCGGGCCCGCUCCACCUCCACCCUCCAGAUCCACCACAAACUGGACCGGCUGGGCCUGUGGAUGGAGCGGCUCAUGGAGGGCACCUUGCCUAGGUACUACAUCCCAGCCUGGCCUGGUUUGGAGAAGAUCACAGCCAACAAGUAGGCCUCACCUGAGGGCAUGGUGCUGUGGCCGAGGUACAACCCCAGAUGCGCUCAUUUGCUGAAGUGUGUGGUGGAGGAAUGAUAGGGCAACACAGGCAUCUUCUUCAAGAAUAUAAGAGGUUUUUCUGCUGCCUGGCUUGAGUAGGGGUAUGCUUUUAAUGCACUGUGCUCGCACCCAAGUGGCAUCCUGGUUGUCACUGGCAAUGUUUUCUCCUGAGGGAUGGAUCCACCUGCCUCCAGCACCGCUCAUCACCUGUAUCCAGAUGUUUCUGUAGUGUUUAAAUUAAUCCCAUGGUUGGGAUUACCUUUUGAGCACCAGUUGGGAUUUGCUGCUUCAGUCCACCCGGCUUCAUGUUGUUUCUUUGUGCCCCUUUCUUCCUGUUGCUGUCAUGUUAGCAACCGAUAUGUUCUUGGGUCUAGUAAGCAAUGGAAUCACUGUGAGCGCAGUCAGUCCUGACUUCACAAGCGUCUAUAACCACAGGCGCUCAUCACAGCGAGUGCAAAUCCACUGCUGUUGUGCAGUGUCUCUGCCUUUCCUGCCAGCUCUGCAUCUUUCCUGCUCCUCUGGGAGGUUUAACACACCUUACCCUGCAUGUGGUCCCUGCCAUGUUGACAUUUGAUUUGGUGCUCUUUUCUUUUAACGUGGAAAUAUUAAUGGAGUUACAAAAUGCAAGCUAUAUUUGUAAUUUCAGUUGCUUGCCUGCAUGAGCGAAUUUUUUUUCCCCACUUGGUGUCAGAUGUUGGUCUGUUUGUAUUGCAGCAUGUAACGUGUUCCCAGUCACUAGCAGAACUUCACCUUUUAGGUCACUGAAACAACAUGUAUGACAUGAGACAAGCGCCUUCCUGCCAGUGGCAUUAUGUAGCAGGGUUGUCUUUAUAAUCCAUCCUAGUAGAAAUCCUUUCUUUAAAAGAGACUAAACAUGUGCUUUCAAUAGAUUACUUAUAUGGCUACUGAAAUGAAAAUUUACACAUUUAUAACGAGUCUACGUUAACUCUCCUAGUGUAUGAUGUGUAUACAUUGUAACCAAACUGUGAACCCAACGUGUUGUGUACUAUGAGUCUGGAAAUUCUGCUGAAGCUUGAUGGUAAUCUUAAGGUCCUAGAAGGCUAAUGGUUCAUGAAAGCUUGCUUUGCAUAUCACACCACACCAACAGAACAGGUCCGCUGGGCCUUUGCUUUUACCACAAUUUCUGCUGACACAGACACCACCCCCAUUUGUACUUGUAGCAAAACUGACACGGUCUGUCUAGGAAGUUUCCUUGGGUGGUGCUUGAGCCUCUAAAGCUUUUUCCCAGGUUUUGUUUGGUUUUAUUUGGAAAACUUUGUAAGCAGCUAUGACCAGUUGUGUGACUGGUAAUAGCGGUAGUAGUGCUGCUGCUGCUGGCUUCAGACCCGAGAAACCUUGACAAGCAUCAAAUCUUCCACAUGGUUUAUCGGUUAACACUAAGAGUGUGGGGUACUCAGAACUGUGUAUGUGCUUAAAUUAAGAUGUGAAUAGUGUACAUAAAGUCUGUAGUUUAUAUUUGUCACUUUGCAUCAAUGUUUAAAGUAAAUUUUAAGAACUAUUACUUUGACACAUUUUGCUGUAGUUAAUACCAAAGUUGAAAUGGAACUAUAAACGUCAUGAAGCUGAUUUUAUUUAUAUGAAAUUUGUAGGAUUCUCUAUAACAUGAAAAAGUGGAUUCGCCAUUUGAAUUGACCUCACUAUCUGGCGUGUUGCACUCCAAGAGGACAAGAUGUUUAGUCCAACAAGCAAAAUUGCCUGGGUUUUUAUGAUUCAACCCCCAACCCCUCCCAGUGAUGUGUAAGCCAUGAGUUGGUUGUGAAAUUCCUCCCAGCUCACACUUAGCACUCUUCUCAUGUAGUGACACAGAGGCAUACUGUGAGCUGCUUUAACACAGGCAUACAGCAAGAAAUAUUGAUACAAAGAAGACAGUCAACUAAUGGCUACCAU